UACGAAGGGGGCUAGCGUUGCUCGGAAUCACUGGGCGUAAAGCGCACGUAGGCGGCUUUUUAAGUCAGGGGUGAAAUCCUGGAGCUCAACUCCAGAACUGCCUUUGAUACUGAGAAGCUUGAGUCCGGGAGAGGUGAGUGGAACUGCGAGUGUAGAGGUGAAAUUCGUAGAUAUUCGCAAGAGCACCAGUGGCGAAGGCGGCUCACUGGCCCGGUACUGACGCUGAGGAGCGAAAGCCAGGGGAGCAAACGGG
rnacentral:rRNA from 1 species